CUGCGUACCUUUUGUAUAAUGGGUCAGCGACUUAUAUUCUGUAGCAAGGUUAACCGAAUAGGGGAGCCGAAGGGAAACCGAGUCUUAACUGGGCGUUAAGUUGCAGGGUAUAGACCCGAAACCCGGUGAUCUAGCCAUGGGCAGGUUGAAGGUUGGGUAACACUAACUGGAGGACCGAACCGACUAAUGUUGAAAAAUUAGCGGAUGACUUGUGGCUGGGGGUGAAAGGCCAAUCAAACCGGGAGAUAGCUGGUUCUCCCCGAAAGCUAUUUAGGUAGCGCCUCGUGAAUUCAUCUCCGGGGGUAGAGCACUGUUUCGGCAAGGGGGUCAUCCCGACUUACCAACCCGAUGCAAACUGCGAAUACCGGAGAAUGUUAUCACGGGAGACACACGGCGGGUGCUAACGUCCGUCGUGAAGAGGGAAACAACCCAGACCGCCAGCUAAGGUCCCAAAGUCAUGGUUAAGUGGGAAACGAUGUGGGAAGGCCCAGACAGCCAGGAUGUUGGCUUAGAAGCAGCCAUCAUUUAAAGAAAGCGUAAUAGCUCACUGGUCGAGUCGGCCUGCGCGGAAGAUGUAACGGGGCUAAACCAUGCACCGAAGCUGCGGCAGCGACGCUUAUGCGUUGUUGGGUAGGGGAGCGUUCUGUAAGCCUG
rnacentral:rRNA from 1 species